rnacentral:rRNA from 1 species
GAUGAACGCUGGCGGCGUGCUUAACACAUGCAAGUCGAACGGAAAGGCCCAAGCUUGCUUGGGUACUCGAGUGGCGAACGGGUGAGUAACACGUGGGUGAUCUGCCCUGCACUUCGGGAUAAGCCUGGGAAACUGGGUCUAAUACCGGAUAGGACCACUUCUUGGAUGUUGUGGUGGAAAGUUUUUUCGGUGUGGGAUGAGCUCGCGGCCUAUCAGCCUGUUGGUGGGGUAAUGGCCUACCAAGGCGUCGACGGGUAGCCGGCCUGAGAGGGUGUACGGCCACAUUGGGACUGAGAUACGGCCCAGACGCCUACGGGAGGCAGCAGUGGGGAAUAUUGCACAAUGGGCGCAAGCCUGAUGCAGCGACGCCGCGUGGGGGAUGACGGCCUUCGGGUUGUAAACUCCUUUCGCUAGGGACGAAGCGUUUUGUGACGGUACCUGGAGAAGAAGCACCGGCUAACUACGUG